UGCUGUGAGACCUAAUUUAUAGAAAUGAAUAGAAAAACACAAACCCACAAUUUAAUUAUUCAAAUUAAGUUUAGUAGGUACACAUUGUGCUCUUAUCGCUGGGCCUAGAACCUCCCGUUGCCGAGGGACAGGGUCUACCAUCUCCCAGGACUGCUCCCAGGUAUAUCCACCAUGCGUCCUCAUUAAUGCUCUCCAGGUGUGUCGAGCAGUCCCAGAGCCAGUGCAGCAUCUGGUUGCUGCUUUGCUGUGGUGUCCCUGCUGUUUCUUACUGGCUCUCUUGGGGCAAAAGCUGAGCAGGGGUAGGUUGAGCCCACGGG